AUUGAACGCUGGCGGCAGGCUUAACACAUGCAAGUCGAGCGGUAACAGGGGGUGCUUGCACCCCGCUGACGAGCGGCGGACGGGUGAGUAAUGCUUAGGAAUCUGCCCAGUAGUGGGGGAUAGCCCGGGGAAACCCGGAUUAAUACCGCAUACGUCCUACGGGAGAAAGCAGGGGAUCUUCGGACCUUGCGCUAUUGGAUGAGCCUAAGUCGGAUUAGCUAGUUGGUGAGGUAAAGGCUCACCAAGGCCACGAUCCGUAGCUGGUUUGAGAGGAUGAUCAGCCACAUCGGGACUGAGACACGGCCCGAACUCCUACGGGAGGCAGCAGUGGGGAAUAUUGGACAAUGGGGGCAACCCUGAUCCAGCCAUGCCGCGUGUGUGAAGAAGGCUUUCGGGUUGUAAAGCACUUUCAGUGAGGAGGAAAACCUUACGACUAAUACUCGUGAGGCUUGACGUUACUCACAGAAGAAGCACCGGCUAACUCCGUGCCAGCAGCCGCGGUAAUACGGAGGGUGCAAGCGUUAAUCGGAAUUACUGGGCGUAAAGCGCGCGUAGGUGGUUCGAUAAGCGGGAUGUGAAAGCCCCGGGCUUAACCUGGGAACAGCAUUCCGAACUGUCGGGCUAGAGUAUGGUAGAGGGUAGUGGAAUUUCCUGUGUAGCGGUGAAAUGCGUAGAUAUAGGGAGGAACACCAGUGGCGAAGGCGACUGCCUGGGCUGACAUUGACGCUGAGGUGCGAAAGCGUGGGUAGCAAACAGGAUUAGAUACCCUGGUAGUCCACG
rnacentral:rRNA from 1 species